rnacentral:rRNA from 1 species
CCUACGGGAGGCAGCAGUGGGGAAUAUUGCACAAUGGGGGAAACCCUGAUGCAGCGACGCCGCGUGAAGGAUGAAGUAUUUCGGUAUGUAAACUUCUAUCAGCAGGGAAGUAAAUGACGGUACCUGACUAAGAAGCCACGGCUAACUACGUGCCAGCAGCCGCGGUAAUACGUAGGGGGCAAGCGUUAUCCGGAUUUACUGGGUGUAAAGGGAGCGUAGACGGGAUGGCAAGUCUGAUGUGAAAACCCGGGGCUCAACCCCGGGAAUGCAUUGGAAACUGCCGAACUAGAGUGUCGGAGAGGCAAGGGGAAAUCCGAGUGGAGCGGGGAAAUGCGUAGAAAUUAGCGGGAAAACCAG